UACAGAGAGUGCGAGCGUUGUUCGGAAUUACUGGGCUUAAAGCGCACGUAGGCGGCGUUGCAAGUGUCGGGUGAAAUCCCGCGGCUCAACCGUGGAAUUGCCCUUCAAACUGCAAAUCUCGAAUGUGGUAGGGGAGAGCGGAAUUCCUGGUGGAGCGGUGAAAUGCGUAGAUAUCAGGAGGGACACCGGUGGCGAAGGCGGCUCUCUGGUUCACUACUGACGCUGAGGUGCGAAAGCUUGGGUAUCGAACGGG
rnacentral:rRNA from 1 species